UCCACGAACGAACUAUGCAGAUGGAACCAAAUCCCGAUACCCCUAAAAGUGCUAUGCUUCCAUGGCCAGAAGAACCCUCUGAAGCAGAAGCUCAUAUCAGAUUCUCUGCUGAUCUUCCUAUCAGGCUCUUCCAUUGGCUUUUGCUCUAUGAUGCAGCAAACUCCUUAAUCAUAUCAAGAUCUCGCGGUUUCUGGAUCUUCCUCUUGGCAUGAUAUUAAGAAGUGGAGCCUAAAAGAUGGAAGAUUGGAUUCUAUUAAGGCACUUUCUUUUGAAUCAAAACAAUGUGUAAGGGAGUAUUGACAGAAAUAAAGGUGAUCUCAAGUAUAGAGCAUAGAAUAUUGGUCUGGCUACCUGGGAAUUAAUUGUUUUUCCGAAACACUACUUGGUGGUGCCCAUAGUAGCCUCCAGUUUAGCUGGAAAACACGAAUUAAAAUAUGCAUUGGUGUUGCACGAGUACUUUCGUUCCUAUGUGAAGUCCAGCCUUAUAUAGUUCAUAUAGAUAUUAAAACAACUAACAUCAGUCUUGACAGAGACCUGACCCCAAAGAUUUCAGACUUUGGUCUUGCUAAGAUUAUUCCGGCUGAUUUGACCUACAUUAACACUCGUGUGGCAGAAACUAUGACUACAAUGAAAAUGGAGAACUUUUGUUGACUGGCUCUCUGGUUUGGUUGCUCCAUACGGAAAUGAACUAGCAUCUAAGAAGGUGAUCUCGAGGUCAUCUUAAAUAUACUUGUAGUUCUUAUCAACUCUUUCACACCACAUGUUUUUGGAUUUAAAUUUCUCAUCUAGAUUCCUUGAUUGUCUGUCAUAAGAAAUGAUUCCCAGGCAGAUCAGAUUAUACCUGUAUGUAUAACUAUUCAAAUCAUUAAUGAUCAUAUGCAACCUAACAAAAUUGCAUUUCUAGAAGCCCUUAAACCAACAUAGGAAUCUGUAAAUUAUUAAUAAGUAAACACAUUGUAGGUUUUUCCUAUAUAAGUUGAAAGAUUACGCGUUGGUUUAUUCUACUUUCUAGAAAGUGGAGCUAGUCAAACUAGCUGCGAAUGAGGAUAGUGUUAGCCUGGAUGAGUUCAUCACAGUCUCGCUAUACAGCAAGAAAAGUAAGCACUCAUACAGUUUCGGUGCCUUGAUUUAAUUCUGCUCUCAAUAUUCAUUCUUUUAGAUGCCUCACCACCAAGUCUGUCUUUUCUCCAUAUCUCUUCUUUGAGGAACACUUCUAAGAUGUUAUGGAGUGUAGUGGCUAUCUGUUUGUUCUACUUAAACCACAGGUAGUGCCUGCUAAAUGUUUUCUUCAAGUUAGAAAAGUUUAAUUAACUUUCUGAAUUCGAAAGCUAAAGGAGACAAACAUGAAUCUACAAAACCACAGCACAAAAUGUUGUGAGACUUAGGUAAAAAUCCCCUAAGAUUACUGCCUUGAAAAUAGAACCUUGUUGUGAUAGAGUGUGUGAUGGAGUUGUAAUUAUGCUUCAAGCUUAAGUAUUAACUGAUUAUCUUGCCCCUUAAAUCCUUUCCUUAACAUGUC